rnacentral:lncRNA from 1 species
UGCCAGAAGCUCAACCAGUUUAAAUAAAUUGAGCUUCAGCCAGCAGCAUUGUAUUCCCACUCUUGAACUCAUUCGGGCUUUUGUCCGUUAGACUAUAAGAAAUAGCUUUGUGUUCCACCAUUUUUAGUAUCUCACAACUUUUUUGCAUUAGUCAAAGUUAUAUCAUCCUCAAACUUUAUGUUGAACCCCUACAUAAUCCUAGAGUUAUGUCAGAGCUCUAGUUCCUUCCUAGAUGUAUUUAUUGCACCAGCCAAUCUUGGCUCAUAUCUUUGGUCUU